UAUCAUCAUAUUAUCAUUUUUAAUUAUUUUUGGAUUGUAUACUUGUGUGUAUAAUGUAUUGUAUAAUGUGGAUUAUUAUUUAAAUCAUAAUACAAGCAUGCCUAAUGUUUACAUGUUGUUUAGAUCCUGCUGCACAUUAUGAAGCCUUUUUAAGAUGUCCUCUAGUUCCAUCCUCAAUUGCAUUGAGUGUUCCAUCUACAUCUGCAAUAAUUGGUAUGUUUACAAACUUUCACUUUUCAAUAUGUUUAUGCAUUUCUUGGCAAUCACAAUAUUUAUUUUUACUUCAGCUUUGUUAACCUUUAGUUACAUCUUCAGCUGCUACAAGUGGAAUUAUUGGUUCAAAAAAAAGUGGAGCAAUGUUUGCGGAUGAAGUGAAAAAAGAUUGAUCUUACAUAUGGUGCCUAUAGACGGCUCUGGUUUACCUUCACCUGGUGUCUAUUGUUAAAAAUGAAUUAUUUAGUUUCAUCAUUGGAAUUUUAAGUAAUAUCAUUUACUAAAAGCCAAGACAUAAAUUUAUAUAUUUUUUAUUUUAAAACUUUUUAAAAUAUAAGUUUUAAAACUUUGGUUAAUUUUAAGGGUGGAUACUCAAACUUGCAUCUUGUAAUGUGGUAAGAUUAGUAAAGAUAUGUCUCUCUUUUUACACAAUUUAAAGACAUUUUUGAAAUUUUUAUUGACAUUUUUUUAAAGUUUAAAUAAGAAGAGGAGGAGGGGGCGUUGGGUGUGGCACACACCCCUCCCUUUACUAACAUGGUAAAAUAAUCUUGAAUACUAAUUUCUCUUUUUAAAUAAACUCAGUUUAAAACCAUUUUUCAAAUAUCUUUUAACAUUUUUUUUUAGGUUGGAGAAGACUGAGAGGAAGGGGGAUGGGCGUUAAGGGUGGCAUCGUCCCGCCCCUAAUUUCAAUUUAUGCACCACUUGUAUAUGCUGUUAUGUGAAAAAAUAUAAUUUAAUAUUUUUAACACAAAAUAUUAUGUGUUAAAAAGUUGUUUUUUAGGUUCAAAUAUUUAUAAGAUGGUAACAUUUCACUACGAGGGUGUUAAAACGUAACAAAGACAUCCACCCUUUAAUCUAAAAUUUACCACUAGUAUUUGGAAAUGUAAUGGAAGCAAAUUAGAACAAUUUUUUGUGUAUAAAGAUAACAAAUUUUAUUAGAGAAAUACUCUUUCGUGU